rnacentral:tRNA from 1 species
GCGGUGGUGGCGGAAUCGGCAGACGCGCACGUUUGAGGGGCGUGUGGGCAACCGUGCGGGUUCAAGUCCCGCCCACCGCACCA